rnacentral:lncRNA from 1 species
CGAGUUCUUGCUUGAGAGCUUGAUUUUGAUCUAAGGGUUAGUGUUUGCUAACCUUAGUGAUUUCCGACUGCGUCAAGUGGUAUCAGAGCAAGGUCUUCUCCUUCUCUUUUCGAAGCUUGAUCAGCCAUGGGUGAUCAACCAGUAACCAAAGCCGACUUCGAGGGUUUCGCAGAAGGUUUAAGGGAGGCAACCACAAACCUCACUGCUGUAACUGCUCAAUUGGCAAAUCUGGUAACUGCGUUAAAUAAUCAGGUUGUGGCUUAUCCCAAUCAGGUUAAUAACGCCGGUCAAAGAGGUGGAGAAAGAAGACCAAUUCGGGGUCAACAAGGUCGAAACAAUCGUGAUGUUGUUGUUGAUAAUUCUAGUUCAGAAGAAGAAUCAGAAGAAGAAAUAGCUGAAGGAAACCUACAAAACAAUUAUGAUUAUCGGGUAAAAGCCGAUAUUCCAUUGUUUUAUGGAACUAUGGGAGUGGAGAAGUUUCUUGAUUGGCAAAUUGAUGUUGAUCGAUUUUUUGAUGUCAUGGGCGUUCCUGAGAAUAAACAAGUUAAGAUGGUAGCUGUCAAACUGAAGAAGACUUCUGCAGUGUGGUGGGAUAAACUCGUUGUCCAAAGGCAAAGACAAAGGAGAGGACCAGUUAGGACUUGGCGUCGAGUGAAGCAAUUAAUGCUGGAGCGAUUCUUAGCGGAAGAUUACGAACAAAUUCUUUACAAGAUGUAUCUCGAUUGUGUUCAAGGAAACAGAAGUGUGACCGAGUACACAGCUGAAUUCUUGCGUUUCUCUGAACGCAAUGAGUUAGGCGAAACAGAGAAUCAGAAGGUGGCUAGGUACAUCAGUGGGUUAAAGGGUUCUCUUCAGGGAAAGAUGGGUUUGCAAACCGUAUGGACCGUGCAGGAAGCUUCCAGUCUAGCAUUAAAAGCUGAGUUAAUGGAGAAGUCAUCACGCGGGUUCUCAACAUUUAGAAGAAACACGGCUCAGACCAAUUUUGAACCAACAAGUGAGAAAGAAAAGAGUGUAGCCAAUAAAGACUCCAAUCCGGGAAACAAAGGAGCUAGUAGCUCUAAUUCAACCCAACAGAACAAGGCACCAGCUCAGAGACAAAACAAUCCUUAUGCUAAGCCUUCCAUUGACAAGUGUUUCCGUUGCCAAGGACAUGGUCAUAAAUCAAAUGUCUGUCCAAGUCGGAGAACAGUUGCUAUAAUAGAGGAAGAAGAUGAAGAGGAUGAAAGGGAUUUCGCUGAGAAUGAAGAAUAUGAGGGAGCUGAAUUCGCUGAAGAAGAAUCUGGAGAGAUGAUAAACCUUGUGCUGCAACGAGUCUUGUUAUCAUCUAAAGAAGAAGGCCAACGUAAGAAUUUGUUUAGAACACAUUGUUCUAUUCAAAACAAGGUGUGUAAUGUGAUUGUGGAUAAUGGAAGCUCAGAGAAUUUAGUUUCUCAAAAGCUGGUGGACUAUCUGAAGCUACCCACAACCCGUCAUGAGAAACCGUACGGUCUUGGUUGGGUGAAGAGAGGAUCACAAGUUCGAGUUAGCAUGACUUGCAAAGUUCUCAUAUCUAUAGGUAAACAUUAUAAGGAGGAGAUCACUUGUGACGUUCUUGACAUGGAUGUUUGUCACAUUCUUCUUGGACGACCUUGGCAGUAUGAUAACGAUAUCACAUAUCGAGGUCGAGACAAUGUGAUAAUGUUUACGUGGGGCAACCAUAAAAUUGCCAUGGCACCUGUUAAGGAUUUUUGUAACACUACGAAGGAAAAGAAGUCAAGUUUCUUGGUUAUGACACAUGACGACAAAGAGCUUGAUGGGGAUGUUCAAGAAGCAAAGUGUUUCUAUCCCUUGGUUGUUAAAGGGUUGUUGAGUGCAGCAACGGAGGAAACGUCAACCCCACGAGAAGUGUUAGAAAUUCUGGAUGAUUUCAAAGAGUUGAUUGCGGAAGAACUUCCUAAUGAUCUACCUCCCAUGAGAGAUAUUCAGCAUCAUAUUGACUUGAUUCCAGGAUCCAGUCUGCCAAAUCUUCCCCAUUACCGUAUGAGCCCUAAGGAGAAUGAGAUUUUAAGGGAACAGAUUGAAGAUUUGCUGAGAAAAGGAUUUAUUCGUGAGAGCAUGAGUCCAUGUGCCGUACCGGUUCUGCUAGUUCCUAAGAAAGGUAACCAGUGGCGGAUGUGUGUUGAUAGUAGAGCCAUUAAUAAGAUAACCAUUAAAUAUCGAUUCCCUAUACCCCGGUUGGAAGAUAUUCUUGAUGAGUUGUCAGGUUCUAAGGUGUUUUCAAAGAUAUGUUUAAGGGAGGCAACCACAAACCUCACUGCUGUAACUGCUCAAUUGGCAAAUCUGGUAACUGCGUUAAAUAAUCAGGUUGUGGCUUAUCCCAAUCAGGUUAAUAACGCCGGUCAAAGAGGUGGAGAAAGAAGACCAAUUCGGGGUCAACAAGGUCGAAACAAUCGUGAUGUUGUUGUUGAUAAUUCUAGUUCAGAAGAAGAAUCAGAAGAAGAAAUAGCUGAAGGAAACCAACAAAACAAUUAUGAUUAUCGGGUAAAAGCCGAUAUUCCAUUGUUCUAUGGAACUAUGGGAGUGGAGGAGUUUCUUGAUUGGCAAAUUGAUGUUGAUCGAUUUUUUGAUGUCAUGGGCGUUCCUGAGAAUAAACAAGUUAAGAUGGUAGCUGUCAAACUGAAGAAGACUGCUGCAGUGUGGUGGGAUAAACUCGUUGUCCAAAGGCAAAGACAAAGGAGAGGACCAGUUAGGACUUGGCGUCGAAUGAAGCAAUUAAUGCUGGAGCGAUUCUUACCGGAAGAUUACGAACAAAUUCUUUACAAGAUGUAUCUCGAUUGUGUUCA